rnacentral:tRNA from 1 species
AGCUAUUCACUUGGAGUAAAGCUUGUUUUGAAAACAAACUAAAAGCGUUCGAUUCGCUUAAUGGCUU